rnacentral:rRNA from 7 species
UAAUUUGAGAGUUUGAUCCUGGCUCAGGACGAACGCUGGCGGCGUGCCUAAUACAUGCAAGUCGAACGAACUCUGGUAUUGAUUGGUGCUUGCAUCAUGAUUUACAUUUGAGUGAGUGGCGAACUGGUGAGUAACACGUGGGAAACCUGCCCAGAAGCGGGGGAUAACACCUGGAAACAGAUGCUAAUACCGCAUAACAACUUGGACCGCAUGGUCCGAGUUUGAAAGAUGGCUUCGGCUAUCACUUUUGGAUGGUCCCGCGGCGUAUUAGCUAGAUGGUGAGGUAACGGCUCACCAUGGCAAUGAUACGUAGCCGACCUGAGAGGGUAAUCGGCCACAUUGGGACUGAGACACGGCCCAAACUCCUACGGGAGGCAGCAGUAGGGAAUCUUCCACAAUGGACGAAAGUCUGAUGGAGCAACGCCGCGUGAGUGAAGAAGGGUUUCGGCUCGUAAAACUCUGUUGUUAAAGAAGAACAUAUCUGAGAGUAACUGUUCAGGUAUUGACGGUAUUUAACCAGAAAGCCACGGCUAACUACGUGCCAGCAGCCGCGGUAAUACGUAGGUGGCAAGCGUUGUCCGGAUUUAUUGGGCGUAAAGCGAGCGCAGGCGGUUUUUUAAGUCUGAUGUGAAAGCCUUCGGCUCAACCGAAGAAGUGCAUCGGAAACUGGGAAACUUGAGUGCAGAAGAGGACAGUGGAACUCCAUGUGUAGCGGUGAAAUGCGUAGAUAUAUGGAAGAACACCAGUGGCGAAGGCGGCUGUCUGGUCUGUAACUGACGCUGAGGCUCGAAAGUAUGGGUAGCAAACAGGAUUAGAUACCCUGGUAGUCCAUACCGUAAACGAUGAAUGCUAAGUGUUGGAGGGUUUCCGCCCUUCAGUGCUGCAGCUAACGCAUUAAGCAUUCCGCCUGGGGAGUACGGCCGCAAGGCUGAAACUCAAAGGAAUUGACGGGGGCCCGCACAAGCGGUGGAGCAUGUGGUUUAAUUCGAAGCUACGCGAAGAACCUUACCAGGUCUUGACAUACUAUGCAAAUCUAAGAGAUUAGACGUUCCCUUCGGGGACAUGGAUACAGGUGGUGCAUGGUUGUCGUCAGCUCGUGUCGUGAGAUGUUGGGUUAAGUCCCGCAACGAGCGCAACCCUUAUUAUCAGUUGCCAGCAUUAAGUUGGGCACUCUGGUGAGACUGCCGGUGACAAACCGGAGGAAGGUGGGGAUGACGUCAAAUCAUCAUGCCCCUUAUGACCUGGGCUACACACGUGCUACAAUGGAUGGUACAACGAGUUGCGAACUCGCGAGAGUAAGCUAAUCUCUUAAAGCCAUUCUCAGUUCGGAUUGUAGGCUGCAACUCGCCUACAUGAAGUCGGAAUCGCUAGUAAUCGCGGAUCAGCAUGCCGCGGUGAAUACGUUCCCGGGCCUUGUACACACCGCCCGUCACACCAUGAGAGUUUGUAACACCCAAAGUCGGUGGGGUAACCUUUUAGGAACCAGCCGCCUAAGGUGGGACAGAUGAUUAGGGUGAAGUCGUAACAAGGUAGCCGUAGGAGAACCUGCGGCUGGAUCACCUCCUUU